UUUAACGGUUGCGAAGGAGUAGUGGCCACAAGAAAAACAGUGUUUGGGGAGAUAACUCUUACAACGUAAAGUAUUUUGUUACGCAGUUGUAAAUUUUUAAAGCGUAUAAACUAUACGAUAUCAUAUUCCAAAUAUCUAAGCGACAUCUUUUGAAACAUCAAUACUACGCAAGAAAAAAAUUAGGCGGAAGAAAAAAAAAAAAUAAUAAUUAAAAACCAAUUGUUCAGAGAACAAUUGAAGGUCUUUCCACUAGUAAAGAUCUAUUUUGAUAUUGAAAUAUGAAAAAUCAGUUUAAAAUGUUAGUUCCUAUGGCUUUAUGAUGUAUUUAAUAUGAAUUUAAAAGCAAAGGUCAAAAUCUAGAACGUCCUAUUAACCUAUGACCUUGACCUCAAUUUCAAGGUCACAAACCAAGGACCUUAAAUCAAAAGACCCUAGGUCUUUAAUAUGUUUGGUUAAUGAGUAAUAUCACUUUACGCGUAAUUCUAAAUGUAAGAUGGGCAAAAACUCCCAUUUAUUGUCUGCGCACCCUUUCAACCAAAAUAUACAAGUAAGGACAUGUCGCAACUAACAAUUUAUGAAAAAUUAUUUGUCGAUAUGUCAUAAGGUAUUUGAAAAUAAGUGAAAAUAAGCCAAAAUCAAAAUUUAGAAUAUGACCUUGACCUUUGACCUUGACCUCAUUUUUAUUUUUUUGGACCAAGGACCUCAAAUCUAAAGACCCUAGGCCUAUAUCACUUAUGGUUUACCAGUUAGAAAUGCAUAUCACUUAGAUCAAAUGCAUAAGGGGAAAUAACUCUCAUAUGGAGUCUCCGGAUAGCUUCGGUCCAAAUGAAUAUCCUAAUCCUGAAGAUGUAACGAGCAAUUUGGUAAAAUAAAUUUGUCGUAAUCUUUUACGGUUGCGAAGGAGUAGUGGCCACAAGAAAAACAGUGUUUGGGGAGAUAACUCUUACAACGUAAAGUAUUUUGUUACACGGUUGUAAAUUUUUAAAGCGUAUAAACUAUAUGAUAUCAUAUUCCAAAUAUCUAAGCGACAACUUAUUAAACAUCAAUACUACGCAAGAAAAAAAUUAGGCGGAAGAAAAAAAAAAAUAAUUAAAAACCAAUUGUUCAGAGAACAAUUGAAGGUCUUUCCACUAGUAAAGAUCUAUUUUGAUAUUGGAAAUAUGAAAAAUCAGUUUAAAAUGUUAGUUCCUAUGGCUUUAUGAUGUAUUAAUAUCAAUUUAAAGCAAAGGUCAAAAUCUAGAACGUCCUAUUAACCUAUGACCUUGACCUCAAUUUCAAGGUCACAAACCAAGG
rnacentral:lncRNA from 1 species